rnacentral:rRNA from 1 species
CAGCAGCCGCGGGAAUACGGAGGAUCCAAGCGUUAUCCGGAAUCAUUGGGUUUAAAGGGUCCGUAGGCGGUAUUGUAAGUCAGUGGUGAAAGCCCAUCGCUCAACGGUGGAACGGCCAUUGAUACUGCAGGACUUGAAUUAUUGGGAAGUAACUAGAAUAUGUAGUGUAGCGGUGAAAUGCUUAGAGAUUACAUGGAAUACCAAUUGCGAAGGCAGGUUACUACCAAUUGAUUGACGCUGAUGGACGAAAGCGUGGGUAGCGAACAGGAUUAGAUACCCCCGUAGUCCCUGUCUCUUAUAC